rnacentral:sRNA from 1 species
GGUUGCCCUCCCUUUGCCUGCUCACUCCUGUUCUCUCUGGCAAAUCCAUUCCUUCACUGGCAUUAGAGCAUACUUCUGAGGGAUUCCAGCAUCUACUGAAGCACAACUGAGACAUCCAGCCUCAUGGACUGAACAACUACUGGAUUCUUGGAUGUCAGAAUUGUGAGCUGGAAUCAGCUGGCCAAAAUGCGUCAUCCCCAUGUAAAAUCCAACCCUGGGGUCUGCAUGUCAAUGGCAUAGACACAAAGGGGGAUAUGGGGAGCUGAGAAGUAGCUCAUGUGAAACCAUUCAGUAGACUGAACAAGUGAUGGAUGAUAUGUCUGCAGUGUUACAAGCACAGUGUGAGGGUCGAGUAUUUAGAAUGCUCAUUAGGAGUGAUGGAAACUUAAAACAAAAAAAUUGAGGGUCUGCUCUUCUCUGGAGUGUCACUUCUUGGUGUUUAGGAGGGAAUGACCAUGGUUAGAGGAGAGUGUAGGAUGAAGAAGGGCCUCAACCCUGGCCUUCAGAUGCCAUGGUUUGGAGCUCAGGGCUCUGUGUGACACAACUUGCUCAGACACAUACUCCAAAGGUUCCAAUUAGAGCCCUGUCUUGUGGAUCGUUGAAGGCCUUUAUCUCAGAAAGUGGGACAGGUAGACAUACCAAACAUGACCAGUCCACACUGGGAAGUGCUAAAAAAAAUUAUAAAACAUGUCUCAGAAUUUGAAGAUUCAUCAUGAAUAGAAAUUUAUAAAAUAUCAAACCCAUCUUAAUAAGUUGCCCUUAGGAGCCCAGCUGUUUCUUCUCUCAAAUCUGAAGCAUGCAGGUAAAUUAACCUGCUCAGGGGAUAACAGGAGAGAUGGAAAAUGUUGUUCCUCACUUGGAAGGGACUGAGAGCAGAGGACCUGAAGAGACUCUGUGGAGUGCAUGGGUCAAGGAAAGGACUUACAAUACCCUUUUCCCCCAAGCCAGAGACACACAGAACAGAACACAGAGGCUUCAAAGGCUCUGACUUGACCCCCCACCCUCUACAGUACCAAGUGGGGACUGCUGGGUCUGAUGAUCCAAAAGCUUUGACAUCAACCCAGCCCAGCUGUGCCAGUAAUUAACUGUUAGAUUUUAUUUUCUAUUAUGGCCUCCCCACUCUUGCUUAUAUGUCUCCUGAUGGCUUCACUUUUGUCUGCAGCCUGAUUCUAGGUUUUAAGCUUCUUAUGUGUCACUCAGCAAAUGAGACAUUCUCUGCCCAUACCUCUUACGCAUCCCCUUUUGUUUCUACAUCUCCUCCUCUUAUUAUUUCUUAAUUAGAACCUUCUAUAGCUUUGACAGUCUCUAAAAUCUGCAGUCCUUAACUCUUCCCCUCCCAGUUCCUUUAAAUGCCUCAAUUCUUUUCUUUUUAAAGUGGAUCUUCUACUCUUUCCUAUUCUCACCAACCCUACUUCCCUCCUGACCUAAUCUAACUAACAUGUGAAUAUAUUCCAUACUAUCUUUGGUUAUUUAUCUUCUAGUUGUUACUGAAGUCAAUGAGGACACUGUUGUUAAUGGACUAGCACAACAUUUGCAUAAAGGCCCAUAUCCAGCAGCUGUUCCUGUAAUUAAUAUUCUAUUCAGAGAAUAAUAUACAGUCCACAUCAGGCACCCUGGGCUCCUAGACAGAGGAACUAUUUUCUGAACUAUGCACCUCGGCUCUGCCAUAUCCAAGUCCCCCAAGUACUUCCAAUAAUUCAAUAGAAAGAAAAGAGCUGAUAAAAAUAAAGUCUGAAACAACAAAAUAACCAAGGUGUAAAUCCCAACUCUGUGCCAAGAACCCAAAACCCACAGAUUUUCCAAUAAUUACUGGGAAUGAUACCUAUUGAGAGUGAGUUAGCUGAAACUCUAGAGAACUAAAGGGGUUGUGGGUUUGUUCAAAUAAACUAAAGAGGAAUCGAAACUCCUGCUCGAACACAGAAACAGCUGAAUAAAAAGAGGAGGGUGGUGUGAGACAUGAACAAGGAAUUUAACCAAGAGGAGGACUGAAGAAAAACUGCCCUGACAAAAGUCAAAUCAAAAGCUCUGAGGAAAGUGUCAGCAAGAGAGAGAAUGGGCGAAGGACAAGGAGAGAAUCUGGCCUGAGGACAGGGAGGAGGAGGAAGAGCAGUCAGAAAGGGACAAAGAUUAACAAAGAAGGAGGAGCUUGUGGGAAUUCCAAGACAAGUGUGACCAUGAAAAAGGCGACUCUGUGGGUUACAGGCAUAGAAAAGGGAAGAGAAUCUCACUCUAAAGGCACAGAAACCAUCUGCAAGUCAAUCUUAAGAGAAACCUUCCCAGAGCGAGGAAAACUCAAUCUAGGUACAACAGGUAUUUAGGUCAGCAAACAGAAAAGCCCCUAUACUACCUCCCCUUCUCACUUUAUAGCUGAAACACUUAACUAUACAGAAGAAAGGGCAUGCCCAGAGAGCAACAAAAGAGAGUCAGCAGGGCAAGCCUAGUGCCAUAAAAGCAGAAGGACCAGUUGAAACUUGAAAAGCCAGGAGGUCUUGGAAUAAGGUAUUGCCAAAUUCUGAAAGACAGUAACAGCCCUUCCAGAGUCCUGUAAGGUUUAGAGUCAAACCAAAUCAGAUUAGUUUUUUGCCCUCAUGACCUCAAUCUCAGGUUAGUGAUUCUUCUCAUUUGUGUGACAGAAUGCCUUGCAAAAGCAACUCAACGUAAAACUAAUUAUUUUAGUUCACCGUUCAAGGCUGCAGUCCAUCAAAGCCAUUUGCUUUGCAUCUGCACUCAGGAAUCAGAGAGAGACGAAUGGAUGAUCAGCUCCAUGUCUUAUUCCCACUCAGGCCAGGACCCUCACUCGUGGAAUGGGGCAGCCCACAUUCAGGGCAGACAGCAACUCUUUUGGGGAUUAACUACCCAUGAUCACACCCGCCUUCAAAAGAGGAAUCCGAACUUGAGCGCUGACUGGCUCAGGCUGGCUUGCUCCUGAGCUCACGAUCUGAACCACGGGUACCAGAAAGAACUGCAACAUUCAACAACUGCCCUACAUCACUCUGAGCUCAACAAAAGAAACCACAGUCCAUGAAACCUGGGUUCUAGCCCAAGAGAGGAUGAAUCUACCUGCUUCCCUGGCACAGACUGGGACUUAGCCCUGUCUCAGAAGGGUCUUUGUCUCUUCCUAGGUCCCUAUUUGUGUGUCUUGAGUGACUUUCCUGAGAAGACAUGAACAAAUGUCUAUUUGUGCCAUGUGGGACAGCAGUCACAGACUAAAGAAACAGGGCCAUCAAUAUCUGACUUGGAAGCCCAGCUAGACUGAUGAACCAAUGAGGUUUUGCCAAACAUCGCAGCCCAGCAUGGACAACACCUCACAGAGAAUUCACAUCCCGAGAGCCCCGACACAGCCAGCAGACUGCUCCAUGGAACAGGAACAGUUCACUUUGAAGGAAAUAGCUACACAAUGCUAUGUUGCCACCAUGUUGAUUCUCAGCUUCUCCAAGCCCACCCACCACAACCACUAACUUUCAGACUAUUGGAUACAUUAAAGGUACUUAUGCACA